CAGGAACUGAGCUUCUGGAGAUGUCAUAUCAGAGUUCACCUGCUGAGGUUCAAGUGAAAUGUUUCUACAAUGUAAAGAUUGGAGAUUCAAAUUCUCUUUCUCCACACAGUGAAAUAUCCUCCAUCAACAUACAAAGGGUUACAAACCAAAAUGAAGAGAAAAACACUGGUUUAACAACCUUCAUUCCCAUUAAAAUGUCACCUGUGGUUGAUGAUUCAGCUGACAAAGAUCAAAAGCCACAGUUGAGUGUUGACCAUGUGCCUGGUGUUAACCUUCUCUUCACUUGCUCCGUGCCUGGAUCUGCUGAUGGUGGUACACGAUGUCACCUGUACUUUGGAGAAGAAGGUCGUCAAGUCCAAACAAGAAAAAUCCAGAGGAAAACAACCUCAAAGAAACAGUCGUUCUGCCAGUUUACUGUCACAAUUAAUGAUUUGCUGAGUCGUCUACGUUCAGUU